CAGAAAUGAAAACUUCCCAGAACAUUUCUUCUCCUCCCCCAAUUUCCACCCCCUACACGUUACCCUCCAUAGCCCAAAACCUUGGGUUUCAAAUCAAACAAUCACCACUCAGGAAACUAAUCUUCAAUUCAGCAAGGGAGAGAGAAGCCUCUCUCGCACCACAGACUGCUCCUCAGAAAACACGGGUCUACCCCUUUAUGUGUUUCCAUGUCACCCGUGGCACCAUCCGGAGAAGUUGCCGUGGUGACAUCCUCUUUUCCAUGUCCAGUGCUCUUGUUGGUGGAGGGUUAAAAAAUAUAAUUUCUAGAUUGAGUAAUGUAUAGGGGGAGGAAAGUAGAGAACGUACAACUGGAACUUACGCAGCUAGCUGGGAACAAGCGUCAACAGCUCCAUGCUAUUGUUUUAACCAAAUCAAGUGUGGAUCAGGGUAGAAGCGUAGGUAUGAUUUAAGAUAGUAACUAAGGAAUAGGAUAAUCAGUAUCUAGGGGUGGGGGUUAGUUAACAUGUGUAUAAUUUAAACUAUAAAAAUCACGAAUCGACUCUGUAUGCUUUGGACAUCAGAUUUGGGUGUAUUAUCACCCCGGUGUCCCGCGCGCUGGAAUAAAGAACCGCAUAUGAUCGCCUCUGUGUAGUUAUAUGUUUUCCUACGCUAACAUUUUUGGCGACCCAGGACGGGACCUUGUGGGCGCAGCCAGGACCCCGCGACCCGAUCACGCUCCAGCCGGCACCGGGUGAUUUCUCGGGGAGCCCAUCGGAGCCGCGACCCUCGCCGCUCACAACGACCCCUGGUGAGAGGGAAACAAGAUGUGUAUAAUUAUGUUCUGUCCCUCGGGAAAACUCUAGCUCAGCUCCGAAGUGUUCUCGUGUGGAACAGACCACUGGCCCUGGAGAAUCCAGUCCACAAUAUCGAACCAGGAGAUGAGGUAUACAUCAAAACCUGGAAUGAAGAACCACUAAAAGAGAAGUGGACUGGUCCCCAUCAGGUACUGCUAACCACCUUUACAGCAGUCAAAGUAGCUGGAGUGGAACCCUGGAUACACUACACGCGUGUGAAGAAGGUCCCUCGUGGAGUCCAGUCGUGGGCUGUAAAAACUUUUGGACCAACAAAGCUGAGGCUGAAACGUCUGUAACUGUUCAAAUGGUAUUGGUAACUGUGCUCAUGCUCUUCCUGUGGGUAAUGUUAAUUUCAUAGAUACUAAUGUCACCAGUAGGGAUUGCUGUUACUUUGGGAUAUGGGAUACAGAAGGGUCAACUAACAACUCUUCAUUCUAGAAUGAAGAGAGAGAUACAGGCAAAAACACAAGUAAUAGAAAUUUCUAAUGAAAUUCGGGCUGAGAAUGUAAUGAUUGGAUUGGUCAGAGACUUUGCCAAAAUGCAUAAUACCAGCAGAAUAACGGCCUGCCUGCCAAUACCAAAGGCAGCAGGGGACCCAGUAAGCUGGAGAAUAAUAACGUCAAAAUUACCUAAAAUAAGAGAGAACAAAACAAUUAACUGUAAACAAGUACCAGAGUCAAGGGUAGUGGUCAGAAAAUACUGGAAGAUAACAGAAGAUUCCUAUAUGCAACCCAUGAGAAAGUCAGAGUGCAUUCUUAAUAAUAGCAAAUUAGGACAAAUCAUAGAGUGGUGGGUUAAAGACCAAGACCUUGCAAAAUGGCAAUGUUAGUUUCUACGCUAUCAAAAGAUCAGAGACAACGCUACAGAAAGUGUUGUAGUGUGAAAAUGUAAAGAGAAAGAUUAGAAAGGACUAGAACCUUGAGACAGUGCAUGGUCUGUGAGCAUCCUCCAGAAAUUCCAAUAUAUGGAAAGCACACCCUGGUGCAUUAAAUGGAAAGGCUCUGAAAAUGAGACAGAUCCCACAGUGACAAAUACUGAUACUAGCAGUCAGAAAGAGGCAAAUAAGGUAAGUUGGUGGGUAUGUAAGAAAAUUUAUGAUUGCACCUCUGACAAUCUAGAAAUAAAACAGUGGUCACCAUUGGCAAUAGCCUUACGAAUUGGUUGUGCCUGCAGGAAAAUUAAACACAAACAAAGCAAAAUAGAUUCUAAGAUUAUAGUAGGAUGUAGCAGGAGUACAAUUCGAAGUCCAGGACCAUUUGUAUGGGCAAUGAGUGAUGGCACAUGGACAACACACUUGCCUAUGGACGGGGAGGUAAGAGAAAUCACCUUGGGCCUUCCCACUUUAUGUCCAAUUUAGAAGAAAUCCCCAUUUAACAGGAGCAGUGAAGCCUUGCAAAUAAAAGCAAAGCGAGACGUCUCAGAAGACAAGAA